rnacentral:rRNA from 1 species
CCUACGGGAGGCAGCAGUGAGGAAUAUUGGUCAAUGGGCGCGAGCCUGAACCAGCCAAGUCGCGUGAGGGAAGACGGCCCUACGGGUUGUAAACCUCUUUUGCCGGGGAGCAACGGGCGCCACGUGUGGCGCCACUGAGAGUACCCGGCGAACAAGCAUCGGCAAACUCCGUGCCAGCAGCCGCGGUAAUACGGGGGAUGCUAGCGGUCGCCGGAUUUAUUGGGUUUAAAGGGUGCGUAGGCGGCGCGUUAAGUCAGUGGUCAAAUUGAGGGGCUCAACCCCUUCCCGCCAUUGAAACUGGCGCUCUUGAGUGGAAGAGAAGUAUGCGGAAUGCGUGGUGUAGCGGUGAAAUGCAUAGAUAUCACGCAGAACCCCGAUUGCGAAGGCAGCAUGCCGGCUUCCUACUGACGCUGAAGCACGAAAGCGUGGGGAUCGAACAGGAUUAGAUACCCUUGUAGUC